UCCGGUCACUGGAGCGGCGUGGAACUACUCCAUCCCAUUCCGAACUGGACCGUAAAACGCGCCAGCGCUGACAAUAGCUGAGGGGCAACUCUCCGUGAAAAUAGGUCGUGGCCGGGA
rnacentral:rRNA from 2 species